rnacentral:rRNA from 1 species
AGUCCGGAUCGGAGUCUGCAACUCGACUCCGUGAAGUCGGAAUCGCUAGUAAUCGCAAAUCAGAAUGUUGCGGUGAAUACGUUCCCGGGCCUUGUACACACCGCCCGUCACACCAUGGGAGUGGGUUGCACCAGAAGUAGAUAGCUUAACCUUCGGGAGGGCGUUUACCACGGUGUGAUUCAUGACUGGGGUGAAGUCGUAACAAGGUAACCCUAGGGGAACCUGGGGUUGGAUCACCUCCUUACCUUAA